UCCAGCGGAGUACUUAACGCGUUAGCUGCGGUACCAAGGACUCGAUCCCCCAACACCUAGUGGACAACGUAUAGGGGGGGGUCUAAAAGGGUAUUUAAUCGUGUUUGCUCCCCACGCUUUCGUGCCUGAGCGUCAGGACGGGCCCAGGGGGCCGCCUUCCGGAUGGGUGUUUCCCCAGAUAUCUACACAUUUCACCGGUACACCGGGAAUUCCACCCCCCUCUGCCGAACUCAAGCCCGGCAGUUACAAACGCAUUUCCAAGGUUGAGCCGGGGGAUUUCACACCUGUUUUAAAAAACCGCCUGCGCACCCUUUAC
rnacentral:rRNA from 1 species